GCGCCGCGAGCAUGACGGUUAUGCAGCGGACUCUUAAUCCGUGGAUCGGGGUUCGAAUCCCCGGCGGCGCA
rnacentral:tRNA from 1 species